UAGAUCUCAGUUCGGACUGUAGGCUGCAACUCGCCUACACGAAGUUGGAAUUGCUAGUAAUCGUGGAUCAGCAUGCCACGGUGAAUACGUUCCCGGGUCUUGUACACACCGCCCGUCACACCAUGGGAGCUGGUAACACCCGAAGUCAGUAGUCUAACCGCAAGGAGGACGCUGCCGAAGGUGGGAUUAGCGACUGGGGUGAAGUCGUAACAAGGUAUC
rnacentral:rRNA from 1 species